CUUCCCUAAGUCAUCCAUUUCAUCAUCACACUUAACCCUUGGUGUGGAGACUUAGAGACACCAAACUUUUGGUGUUUUGGAGAUCCUUUCCUUACAUCCACAAAGUUCAAAGGAGCACAAAAGGAGAAGGAAAUCACAAUCAAUAUCCAAGGAGCUAAGAGGUGACUUGAAGGCCCUCCACUUGGGUGAAUCCCUUGUGUAAACAAGGAUGAGCUUCAAG
rnacentral:lncRNA from 1 species